GAGCAUUCCUCACUGACACCAGUGUUGCAGUACGAUGGCAAAACCACGGCGGAUCAUGCUCCUUAAUACAACACCAGAAGUUCAUUUCGUAAGAAGCGAAUUUUCGCUAGUUUUGGGUGAAAAGGGGUCAUUUGACCCCGUACCCUCAAGGUAUUCCGCAUCCGAGAGCCACAGCAAUAAGCCACGGGACGCAACAACAUCAAAAGAUGGUGGUGCGGGACGUGAUUAUUACUCUACGGUUCGCCCGAAGCCACUCUCCAAAGGAAGAAGUAGCACCAUGCGAACGAUAAGCGAUUUGCCAACCGAAUUCCAUUGCCGUAGGUAAGCAACACAGGAAACCCACAAAUGCGGUCAAGGCUUGUCUUGCUCUUGAGCCAACAAGUGAAGAGAAUAGCACGGGAGGACGUCAUUGCCCGAGCAAGGAUCCAA
rnacentral:misc_RNA from 1 species